rnacentral:rRNA from 1 species
UACGUAGGGUGCGAGCGUUAAUCGGAAUUACUGGGCGUAAAGCGUGCGUAGGCGGUUGGCAAAGUCAGCUGUGAAAGCCCCGGGCUUAACCUGGGAAUGGCGGUUGAAACUAGUCGACUCGAAUCUGGCAGAGGGGGGUGGAAUUCCACGUGUAGCAGUGAAAUGCGUAGAGAUGAUGGAGGAACACCGGAUGGCGAAGGCAGCCCC